UACGGAGGGAGCUAGCGUUAUUCGGAAUUACUGGGCGUAAAGCGCACGUAGGCGGCUUUGUAAGUUAGAGGUGAAAGCCUGGAGCUCAACUCCAGAAUUGCCUUUAAGACUGCAUCGCUUGAAUCCAGGAGAGGUGAGUGGAACUGCGAGUGUAGAGGUGAAAUUCGUAGAUAUUCGCAAGAACACCAGUGGCGAAGGCGGCUCACUGGCCCGGUACUGACGCUGAGGUGCGAAAGCGUGGGGAGCAAACAGG
rnacentral:rRNA from 1 species